rnacentral:rRNA from 1 species
AAUGCAAUAUGUAGAAUGUCUUACUUUUUGCGAUGACACGCAAUCAAUACAACUUUCAACAACGGAUCUCUUGGCUCUCGCAUCGAUGAAGAACGCAGCGAAAUGCGAUACGUAAUGUGAAUUGCAGAAUUCAGUGAAUCAUCGAAUCUUUGAACGCACCUUGCGCCCUUUGGCAUUCCGAAGGGCACACCCGUUUGAGUGUCGUGACAUCCUCAAACCUUCUUGGUUUCUUGACUGAGAAGGCUUUGGACUUUGGAGGCUUUUGCUGGACCUUCCCUUGUUGAAGCCAGCUCCUCUUAAAUGAAUUAGUGGGGUCUGCUUUGCUUAUCCUUGACGUGAUAAGAUGCUUCUACGUCUUGGGUUUUGCACUGUUUGCUCUAGAUCCUGCUUCUAACCGUCUCAUAGAAGACAAAUGGUCGACUUUGACCCACAAACCUGGGAA